GAUGAAGAUGGCGCUGGGCUGUCAGACGCCUGCGGGCCGAACCCGGAUACGGCAGCGCGCGCGACGCUUCGCAGCGACACCGAAAUCUCUGGCGGCGGCGCCGCAGGGACUGUCAGACUGCAGAGUCGCAGACGCAGCCGCAAUGGGUCAGUGCGCCAACCCUACGUCACUGCCGACGCGGCCAGUGGGGCAACGUGAGUGGCCGAGGACCAGGGGAGAUGCGGCAGGAGGCGGGUUCGAGGCGGGGCGCCACGGUGUGGGCUGGGCCGAGGGCCUGACGCUGCCGCGCCCGCGGGCGGGGCGAGGGCUGCGAGCUGCUUUGUUGUGUCUGGUCUGAGAUUCGGGAAGCUUCUGUGCGUAGGCGCUGCAGUUUGAGAGGCUGAAAACGUCACGACGCGAAAUCUAAGAAACGUAGUCAAAUUAUGUAUUAUUAAAACCUCAAUAACUGUACCAAGGGAAGUUCUGUGCUUUAUUCAGCUCUAUGUGUUCAGCACUUAGCAUAGCGCCUGGCGGAUGGUCAGUGUUCUUUGACUUGUUGCUAAAUACAGAGAAGAUUCAGCCGAAAGGUAGCAAGGAAAUACAUUGUCUGGUUUCAAGGCUCAGAACCUUUACAUGGUUCCUUACUCAUGGAGGCCGGAAGACUGUAUAAAAUGUCAGGAGGAGAAAAUAUUAUCUGAAUGAAGAACCAGCCAGAGAAAACAGUUCUCUGAACUUUGAGGUCUGGCAGGCCUGGGUUUCUUUCUUUCUUUCUUUCUUUUCCUUCCUUCCUCCCUUCCUCCCUUCCUCCCUUCCUCCCUUCCUUCCUUCCUUCCUUCCGUAUAUGUUGAAUACCUAAUACGCACCAGGCACUGUUUUAGGCGUGGAGGAUACAGACAAGAUCCCUGUACUCAUUGAAAUAGAAUAGGACAAAUGGGCAGGGCGCGGUGGCUCACGCCUGUAAUCCCAGCACUUUGGGAGGCCAAGGCGGGCAGAUCACGAGGUCAGGAGAUGGAGACCACGGUGAAACCCCGUCUCUACUAAAAAAAUACAAAAAAUUAGCCGGGCGCGGUGGUGGGCGCCUAUAGUCUCAGCCACUCGGAGGCUGAGACAGAAGAAUGGCGUGAACCCCGGAGGCGGAGCUUGCAGUGCGCCAAGAUCGCGCCACUGCACUCCAGCCUGGGCGACAGAGCAAGACUCUGUCUCAAAAAAAAAAAAAAAAAAGGAAUAGGACAAACGACACACCAAUUAAGCAACAAAAAUAUAGGAAGUGAUAACUACAUUGAUGAAAAAACAGGGUGAUACAAUGGAGCCUGGGGACACAACUUCAGGGAGGGCCUUGCUGAGGAAGUGAUUUUUGAAGCUUGGGACCUGAAUCAUGAGGAAGAACUAGCCCUACAAAGAUCAGGGGACUCAUCUUCCCAUCCGGAGAAGAGUGGAUGCAAAAGCCCUAGCUUUGUGUUUUGAGGAAGAGUCAUUCGGUCAGAUGCCAUAAAGAGUUCAGUCCCACAAGACUGCCCCCACUUCAGACAACAAUCACAAGUCUCAGGUUGUGACCUGUGCUUCUGACCAACCAGCUAUAAAUUAGGGUUUCCAGACCAGGCGUGGUGGCUCAUGCCUAUAAUCCCAGCAUUUUGGGAGGCCAAGGCACGUGGAUCACCUGAGGUCAGGACUUCAAGAUCAGCCUAGCCAGCAUGGUAAAACCCUAUCUCUACUACAAAUAGGAAAAAGAGCUGGGCAUGGUGGCACACACCUGUAAUCCCAGCUAUUCGGGAGGCUGAAGCAAGAGAAUCGCUUGAACCCAGGAGGCGGAAGUUGCAGUGAGCCAAGAUUGCCCCACUCCACCUGGACCACGGAGAGAGACUCCCUCUCAACAAAUAAAUUAGGGUUUUCAUGACCCCUCCAUCUUGAGUUCCAUAAUUUGCUAGAAUGGCUCACAGAACUCAAAAAAACACUUUAUGUUUACCAGAUUAUUAUAUUGAGCACCUACUAGUACCUAACAGUACCUACCAGGCACUGUUAUCAGUAUUGGGGAUACAGCAGUGAAUAAAACAAAAUUUGGGGGAUAAGAGAGGCAAACAAGGCCAUAACUGAAGCAAAGUAAGUUAGGGGAAGAGUGGAAUAAGAGGUGGCAGAGCAGUGAGACCUCAGCGUGGAAUCAAGGAAUGGUGGGACCAAGGACUGAAAUAGAGAUCAUAGAGAAUUCUAUUCUCUUAAGUUUGAGGUGACUAUUAGGCAUCCAGGUAGAUAUGUCAAAUAAACAGAUAUACUGUAAAAGUCGGAAGUUCAAAACUAAGGUAAAUUUGGUAGUUAUGUUGUAAAUAUAAAGGUAGCAUUUAAUGUCAGGAUUCUAUGGUUUGAAUGUGUCCCCCAAAGCUCAUGUGUUGGAAACUUAAUCCCCAAAGCAAUAGUGUUGAGAGGGGGGACUUUUAAGAGGUGAUGAGGUUAUGAGGGCAGAGCUCUGAAUGCUGUUAUCACAGGAGUGGGUUAGUUAUUGGGGAGCGAGU
rnacentral:lncRNA from 1 species